CCUACGGUGGCUGCAGUGGGGAAUAUUGGACAAUGGGCGAAAGCCUGAUCCAGCCAUGCCGCGUGUGUGAAGAAGGCCUUCGGGUUGUAAAGCACUUUCAGUGGGGAAGAAAGCCUUGGGGCUAAUACCCUCGAGGAAGGACAUCACCCACAGAAGAAGCACCGGCUAACUCCGUGCCAGCAGCCGCGGUAAUACGGAGGGUGCGAGCGUUAAUCGGAAUUACUGGGCGUAAAGCGCGCGUAGGCGGUCUGAUAAGCCGGUUGUGAAAGCCCCGGGCUCAACCUGGGAACGGCAUCCGGAACUGUCAGGCUAGAGUGCAGGAGAGGAAGGUAGAAUUCCCGGUGUAGCGGUGAAAUGCGUAGAGAUCGGGAGGAAUACCAGUGGCGAAGGCGGCCUUCUGGACUGACACUGACGCUGAGGUGCGAAAGCGUGGGUAGCAAACAGGAUUAGAUACCCUUGUAGUC
rnacentral:rRNA from 1 species